AGCUGGGAGAGCAUCUGCCUUACAAGCAGAGGGUCAGCGGUUCGAUCCCGUUAGCCCCCA
rnacentral:tRNA from 1 species